GGAGAAAAAGGUACCGUAGUCGUGCACGAGCCACACAGCGGGGCACUAUGUCUCCAUGGUCCAGGUGGGCCCCCCAUGUCCCCCUAUAAAUAGCACGAGCCUGCCGAGUAUGUACCAGUAAAGAUCAGCUCCUUGGCCGAGGACAAGGCACGGGGGAAAUAAUGUGGAUGGCGAACCGGAUGCAGGGGCCACGAAGCCACCCAGAGAAGCUGUCCUACCCCGGACAACGCGAUACGAUCUUCGUCGACUUCUGUCCCCGGAGUAGCUUAACUUAAGGCACGUCCACACGAGAGAGAAUUCACACCAUACAGCGGACCCUCUAGAUACCCUGUACUAAAUGCCGACCAAUGAUAUCGAAAACUUCUUGCCAGAUCCCAGUGCCCUCUGUGAGAAUAUUUGCGUAACUCAACCUAAAUAUUCUUUUGGACAAGCAGCCGACGUGCUCCCGCAAUCCAGCAGGCAUAAGCUACGCAAGAACUGUCUGUUAAACAGGAAAUGGCUACGUUGUUGAAGCUUCCUCUGGAUACACUGUCUCUCAUAACGAUCCAGUCCAUUCAAACCUUAAUGCAAAGGGGGCAGAAGGAGAAUGCAGAAGCCACUCACCGACAAUGAAAGGAGGAAUAAGAGAGAAAAAAAAUGUCGAAUGGGAAAGGAGCGAGAGAAGUUCACGUGAGAGCUAAUUACCUGGCGUGUAACAUAAUUAACAGCGCGGGAGCCGCGAGCAGCCCGGCAUCCCGGCGCGAUCGAAAAUGUACCGUUAAACCAGUCGGUAAUGGAGAUUAAUCCGCGGAUAAAGCGAUGUUUACAUUUUUUUCGCGACGCGACGACACGAAAGUUAAUUUAGUUACCCCCGAUAUGGAAGUCGAUAAUCAAUAAUAUGUUAUACGCCUAGUAGAACCGAGCAGUCGUGCAUCUCAAGAUGAGAACACCCCAUCAAUAUACCAUGCGUGACAAAUGCCAAUGUACAAUUAAAAGCAUGGCUACCGCAACAUCCUCUGGGAGCCAAAGAAAGAAGAGCAAACAGAGGAGAGAAUAAAUAAGGGAAAAAAAGUGUAACCGGCUCUGGAUGACAAAAGAGAAAGGUUACCCCGUUCCCUGAAGAGAGGCCGGUUGUGUGAGGUUGAAGUCACUGGCACACGGACUGGAAUGGACAUUAUUACCGACACGCGGAGACUGGAUCUAGGCCAAGUGUGCAGGUUCACUAAACGCAGGUCCUCCUACCUGAUAUACAGUCACCAGAACAAUAUAAACUGCGUGUAUGCAUACCUAACGUGAUUGUGGACAAACGAAAGUAGCAAAAGGGACAAGAAAAUGGCGAUUUGUGCCACGACCACACCUGUGGUUUUUGACCCUGUUCCUGAAGCAACGAAUCCUCAAAGUAUUUCCGUUCAGAUCUGGACCCAAGAGCGUUCUGGUUCAGAUGAACGUAUCUCUCGAUCAAGGGAUGAAGUGGGAGGAUAGACGAGGGAUUAUGGGGAGAGCGAGGGGGCUCUUUACCGUUUCGAAUCUACGUGAUUCGAAGACUCGUUCAAGCGAGACCCCCAGGAAAUCGUGGACCCGGCAGCUACCUCCGGGGAUCCUGGCACUCGUGUAUUACGAAUUGUACGGAUCAUCUUUUACUAAGUGGACUAUACCUAUCCAAGGAACGAUCAAUUAUCGCGUAUCAUUCUACCGAAGUGGACGUACGAAAAUUUUUCAAAGUGGAUACCCACCGCAAAACGGUCAACCCGAAGAGGAUGGAGUGAAUAAAAGAAAAUUCAAGCUGUACGAUAACCUCACGUAUUCAACUGUGAAGCUAGUUACUUUUCUUAGGUCGCAAGUUAAUGGAGCAAGAAAUACCGUGGACGGUAGUGGACGCUGUGGAUGACGAAGCGGUGGUGUAAGGAAGGAAAGGACGUUCGUAAAAAAAAAUUCUUAAAGAGCGAGACAAAAGUUUACGAAGGAGGGAGAAGAUCGAUUACCGUUCGAAACGAUCGAGUUUGCCAAUGAAAAAUUGCAACGGUUCAACUUCGGAAUGAUCCUUUCUCUACGCACCAGUGACAUGAAUUGCCGAAUCACCGUCUGAAUUACAAGGAACUUU